UACAGAGGUCUCAAGCGUUGUUCGGAUUCAUUGGGCGUAAAGGGUGCGUAGGUGGCGAGGUUAGUCAGGUGUGAAAUCUCGGGGCUCAACCCCGAAACUGCACUUGAUACUGCCUUGCUAGAGUACUGGAGAGGAGAUUGGAAUUUACGGUGUAGCAGUGAAAUGCGUAGAUAUCGGGAAGAACACCCGUGGCGAAGGCGGCUCUCUGGAACGCAACUGACGCUGAGACGCGAAAGCGUGGGGAGCAAACAGG
rnacentral:rRNA from 1 species